GUAACGGAAGCUAGCAGUUCAGUUGCCAUGGAGUCCCAAGGCUGUAGGAGGGGCCUCAACCAUCUAAUUUUCAAUGAAGGAGUAGAUAUAGACCUCAUCACUACAGACCGGGCCACAUCAGUUCGGAAAAUAAUGAGGGAGGAAUUCCAGAAUGUUCACCAUGAAUUUGAUCCUUGGCAUGAAUCAAACGGCAUAAAGAAAAAACUGGUAGCACUCGCCAACAAAAAGGAAAAUCGGGUCCUGCAGGGCUGGAUUCGGGCGAUCCUCAAUCACUUUUGGUUCUCAUGCUCAUCUUGUGGCGAGAGUGCUGAGGAACUGAAGUGACGGUGGACCUCAGUCCUCCACCACAUCUGUGGGGAGCACACAUGGGAGCAAGAUGGAAGAAAGUGGGCAUGCCCUCACCCUGCUCUAAACCCAGAUCAGCAAAGGACAAAGCGAUGGCUCCAGCCAGAGUCUCAAGUGUUCAAGUCUUUACGGAAUAUUGUUGAAGAUAAAAGACUUCUGAAAGACCUUGAGCAGAUGACUCGCUUCAAACAUACAGGAUCUUUGGAGGUGUACCACAACGUUAUGCUAAAAUAUCUGCCUAAACGACUGCAUUUUCGGUACGACACCAUGGUAGCCCGAACACAACUAGCCAUCCUGGACAACAAUUACAAUGUCGGCCGACAGCAGACAGAGACUUCUGAAGGACUUCCAAGAUACAGUAUGGUGUUCCCAAAACAGAGCAAGGAAUGGGUAGCCAAGAAGAUCUAUGAGCCUACAGGUCAGUACUUCACGCAACACCUUGUGAAACUCGUGUUGGAGAGAAGGGAGGAAAGAACACCGGAAGACAUACCACAUGUCCAGCGGCCUGCAAACAUUGCCACUAAGGAGAGACCCCCCAAGGAAGAUGUAAUCUGGAAACAUCAAUCCAGAUUCCCUCGCCACACUGAUGCUUGAAAAACCAAGGAUCCAGAUGGUAAAUUUGUUUAUGUCAGAAUCAGAAUCACUUUUAUUACACCUUAUUGUACAGUAGGCUACACAAGAGCAAAAUUAUUAGGCUUGGUUCCUCAACAUACACAUAGCUGCAAGUAAAAAAUAUAAAAUAAGUAUAAAAAUAAAUAAGUAGCAGCAUCAAUAAUAAUAAAGUAAUGAGGUGUAAUAAAGUGUGAAGUGUAGGGUGUUCAAGUGGUAGUGUUGUAAAUAUGUUUGUAAAUACAGUCGGCUUAUGUCUACCUUUACCCAUUAGGAAAACAUGUUUAGGCCUACAGACACUAGUGUGCACUUUCUAAAUAAAACUGCAAAGAUUUUUGAACAAAAGUUUUUUAUUGAGAAGAAAUUAAAAAGUAAACGCAAUGCAGUUAGGUAGGAACAUAAGGUAGGAACAGAAGGGUAAGAUAUACAUUGGAAUAAGAAUAAAAAAGAAUGAAUUCAGAAUAAUUCCUCUAUCUCACUGGGUUUAAACCCAGCAUACUGUCCAGUGGGGGAUGGGAAUGCAUCCCUAACAGCCCACACCACGCAACUGGGUAAUCCAAGGCGAUUUCCUCGUCCCAGUGGUUAUCCUUUGAGGGCCCACUCCAGAAUGACUCGAUAAGCCACAAGUCGGUAUUGCCUGAGGGUAACAAAACAUGGAUAGAGCAAA
rnacentral:lncRNA from 1 species